rnacentral:rRNA from 1 species
UGGGGAAUAUUGGACAAUGGGCGCAAGCCUGAUCCAGCCAUGCCGCGUGAGUGAUGAAGGUCUUCGGAUUGUAAAACUCUUUUUGCCGGGGACGAUAAUGACGGUACCCGGAGAAUAAGUCCCGGCUAACUUCGUGCCAGCAGCCGCGGUAAUACGAAGGGGACUAGCGUUGUUCGGAAUCACUGGGCGUAAAGCGCACGUAGGCGGAUUUGUAAGUCAGGGGUGAAAUCCCGGGGCUCAACCUCGGAACUGCCUUUGAUACUGCGGAUCUCGAGUCCGAUAGAGGUGAGUGGAAUUCCUAGUGUAGAGGUGAAAUGCGUAGAUAUCAAGAGGAACACCUGAGGUGAAGACGGGUUGCUGGGCUGACACUGACGCUGAGGCGCGAAAGCCAGGGGAGCAAACGGGAUUAGAUACCCCAGUAGUCCCUGAGCGGGCUGGCAAGGCGCAU